rnacentral:rRNA from 1 species
UACGUAGGGUGCGAGCGUUAAUCGGAAUUAUUGGGCGUAAAGAGCUCGUAGGCGGUUUGUCGCGUCUGCCGUGAAAGUCCGGGGCUCAACUCCGGAUCUGCGGUGGGUACGGGCAGACUAGAGUGAUGUAGGGGAGACUGGAAUUCCUGGUGUAGCGGUGAAAUGCGCAGAUAUCAGGAGGAACACCGAUGGCGAAGGCAGGUCUCUGGGCAUUAACUGACGCUGAGGAGCGAAAGCAUGGGGGAGCGAACAGG